rnacentral:lncRNA from 1 species
AAGUCCCGUAACUCAAAAAGUUUAAAUCCUAUUUUCACCAAAACGUAUAUGUACAGAUUGUAUGACCAUCAUAGGAAACAACUAUGUUAAGUGUCAUGAAAUUUGGAUAAGCGGUUCUCAAGUUACGGUGUGACAUGUGGACUCCGGACAGAUAGACAGACGGACGGCGGACAUUUGUAUACCAUAAUACGUCCCGUCAAAAUUUUGGCGGACGUAUAAAAAAUGGAUUAAAGUGAAGAACAAGUGUUUAUCGUCCAGUAACACAUAUUACAUUCAUAUCGGAACAGGAGUA